UCCACUGCAGAGAGAAGGUGGAGAAGGAAAGGAGGUAAACAUGGUCAGGCUGAUCCACUGCAGAGAGAAGGUAGAGAAGGAAAGGAGGUAAACAUGGUCAGGCUGAUCCACUGCAGAGAGAAGGUGGAGAAGGAAAGGAGGUAAACAUGGUCAGGCUGAUCCACUGCAGAGAGAAGGUGGAGAAGGAAAGGAGGUAAACAUGGUCAGGCUGAUCCACUGCAGAGAGAAGGUAGAGAAGGAAAGGAGGUAAACAUGGUCAGGCUGAUCCACUGCAGAGAGAAGGUUGAGAAGGAAAGGAUGUAAACAUGGUCAGGCUGAUCCACUGCAGAGAGAAGGUGGAGAAGGAAAGGAGGUAAACAUGGUCAGGCUGAUCCACUGCAGAGAGAAGGUAGAGAAGGAAAGGAGGUAAACAUGGUCAGGCUGAUCCACUGCAGAGAGAAGGUUGAGAAGGAAAGGAUGUAAACAUGGUCAGGCUGAUCCACUGCAGAGAGAAGGUGGAGAAGGAAAGGAGGUAAACAUGGUCAGGCUGAUCCACUGCAGAGAGAAGGUAGAGAAGGAAAGGAGGUAAACAUGGUCAGGCUGAUCCACUGCAGAGAGAAGGUGGAGAAGGAAAGGAGGUAAACAUGGUCAGGCUGAUCCACUGCAGAGAGAAGGUGGAGAAGGAAAGGAGGUAAACAUGGUCAGGCUGAUCCACUGCAGAGAGAAGGUUGAGAAGGAAAGGAUGUAAACAUGGUCAGGCUGAUCCACUGCAGAGAGAAGGUGGAGAAGGAAAGGAGGUAAACAUGGUCAGGCUGAUCCACUGCAGAGAGAAGGUAGAGAAGGAAAGGAGGUAAACAUGGUCAGGCUGAUCCACUGCAGAGAGAAGGUAGAGAAGGAAAGGAGGUAAACAUGGUCAGGCUGAUCCACUGCAGAGAGAAGGUGGAGAAGGAAAGGAGGUAAACAAUCUGACCACUGCAAAAAUAAAUCCCAACUUUCCCUCCACUCUACAGAGGGGAUAGAAAAACACAUCGCUCCCUUUUCCUGUCAGUGGAGGCUGCUGAGGGGAGGACGGCUCAUAAUAAUGGCUGGAAUGGAGUCAAUGGAAUGGUUUCACACGUGGUUUCCAUUGGUUAAUACCAUUCCAUUGACUCCAUUCAAGCCAUUGCUAUGGGCCGUCCUCCCCAUAGCAGCCUCCACUGGUUCCUGUAUACACCUGGUAAACAGAGGAGAUUGAUAGAAAUGUGAGAUCU